rnacentral:rRNA from 1 species
CACGUAGGGCGCAAGCGUUAAUCGGAAUUACUGGGCGUAAAGCGUGCGCAGGCGGUUCGCUAAGACAGAUGUGAAAUCCCCGGGCUUAACCUGGGAACUGCAUUUGUGACUGGCGGGCUAGAGUAUGGCAGAGGGGGGUAGAAUUCCACGUGUAGCAGUGAAAUGCGUAGAGAUGUGGAGGAAUACCGAUGGCGAAGGCAGCCCCCUGGGCCAAUACUGACGCUCAUGCACGAAAGCGUGGGGAGCAAACAGG